rnacentral:rRNA from 1 species
GAUGAACGCUGGCGGCGUGCCUAAUACAUGCAAGUCGAGCGAACGGACGAGAAGCUUGCUUCUCUGAUGUUAGCGGCGGACGGGUGAGUAACACGUGGAUAACCUACCUAUAAGACUGGGGUAACUUCGGGAAACCGGAGCUAAUACCGGAUGAUAUUUUGAACCGCAUGGUUCAAAAGUGAAAGACGGUCUUGCUGUCACUUAUAGAUGGAUCCGCGCUGCAUUAGCUAGUUGGUAAGGUAACGGCUUACCAAGGCAACGAUGCAUAGCCGACCUGAGAGGGUGAUCGGACACACUGGCACUGAGACACGGUCCAGACUCCUACGGGAGGCAGCAGUAGGGAAUCUUCCGCAAUGGGCGAAAGCCUGACGGAGCAACGCCGCGUGAGUGACGAAGGUCUUCGGAUCGUAAAACUCUGUUAUUAGGGAAGAACAUAUGUGUAAGUAACUGUGCACAUCUUGACGGUACCUAAUCAGAAAGCCACGGCUAACUACGUG